AUUGAACGCUGGCGGCAGGCCUAACACAUGCAAGUCGAACGGUAACAGGAAACAGCUUGCUGUUUCGCUGACGAGUGGCGGACGGGUGAGUAAUGUCUGGGAAACUGCCUGAUGGAGGGGGAUAACUACUGGAAACGGUAGCUAAUACCGCAUAACGUCGCAAGACCAAAGAGGGGGACCUUCGGGCCUCUUGCCAUCGGAUGUGCCCAGAUGGGAUUAGCUAGUAGGUGGGGUAACGGCUCACCUAGGCGACGAUCCCUAGCUGGUCUGAGAGGAUGACCAGCCACACUGGAACUGAGUCACGGUCCAGACUCCUACGGGAGGCAGCAGUGGGGAAUAUUGCACAAUGGGCGCAAGCCUGAUGCAGCCAUGCCGCGUGUAUGAAGAAGGCCUUCGGGUUGUAAAGUACUUUCAGCGGGGAGGAAGGGAGUAAAGUUAAUACCUUUACUCAUUGACGUUACCCGCAGAAGAAGCACCGGCUAACUCCGUG
rnacentral:rRNA from 1 species